rnacentral:rRNA from 1 species
CAGUAGCCGCGGUAAUACGUAGGGUGCGAGCGUUAAUCGGAACUACUGGGCGUAAAGCGUGCGCAGGCGGUUGUGUAAGACAGGUGUGAAAUCCCCGGACUUAACCUGGGAAUGGCAGUGGAUACUGGCUCGCUAGAGUGUGUCAGAGGAUGGUGGAAUUCCCGGUGUAGCGGUGAAAUGCGUAGAGAUCGGGAGGAACAUCAGUGGCGAAGGCGGCCAUCUGGGACAACACUGACGCUGAGGCACGAAAGCGUGGGGAGCAAACAGGAUUAGAUACCCCCGUAGUCCCUGUCUCUUAUAC